rnacentral:rRNA from 1 species
CAGUAGCCGCGGUAAUACGGAGGGUGCAAGCGUUAAUCGGAAUUACUGGGCGUAAAGCGCACGCAGGCGGUCUGACAAGUCAGAUGUGAAAUCCCCGGGCUUAACCUGGGAACUGCAUUUGAAACUGUCAGGCUGGAGUCUUGUAGAGGGGGGUGGAAUUCCAGGUGUAGCGGUGAAAUGCGUAGAGAUCUGGAGGAAUACCGGUGGCGAAGGCGGCCCCCUGGACAAAGACUGACGCUCAGGUGCGAAAGCGUGGGGAGCAAACAGGAUUAGAUACCCGUGUAGUCCAUGUCUCUUAUAC